GACGAACCGUGCGAACGUUAUUCGGAAUCAUUGGGCUUAAAGCGCGUGUAGGCGGAUUCGUGCGUCUGUCGCUGAAAUCCCCCGGCUCAACCGGGGAACGGGCGCGGAUACGACGAGUCUGGAGGGGCAUAGGGGGACCUGGAACUUCCGGUGGAGCGGUGAAAUGCGUUGAGAUCGGAAGGAACGCCCGUGGCGAAGGCGGCUCACUGGGCCGGUCCUGACGCUGAGACGCGAAGGCGUGGGGGAGCGAACGGGG
rnacentral:rRNA from 1 species